rnacentral:rRNA from 1 species
GAUGAACGCUGGCGGCGUGCUUAACACAUGCAAGUCGAACGGAAAGGCCCAAGCUUGCUUGGGUACUCGAGUGGCGAACGGGUGUGUAACACGUGGGUGAUCUGCCCUGCACUUCGGGAUGAGCCUGGGAAACUGGGUCUAAUACCGGAUAGGACGAUGGUUUGGAUGCCAUUGUGGAAAGUUUUUUCGGUGUGGGAUGAGCUCGCGGCCUAUCAGCUUGUUGGUGGGGUAAUGGCCUACCAAGGCGUCGACGGGUAGCCGGCCUGAGAGGGUGUACGGCCACAUUGGGACUGAGAUACGGCCCAGACUCCUACGGGAGGCAGCAGUGGGGAAUAUUGCACAAUGGGCGCAAGCCUGAUGCAGCGACGCCGCGUGGGGGAUGACGGCCUUCGGGUUGUAAACUCCUUUCGCUAGGGACGAAGCGUUUUUGUGACGGUACCUGGAGAAGAAGCACCGGCUAACUACGUG